CUACCUUCUAGUGGGGAAUACCCCCGGGAAACUGGGGACAAUACCGCAUAAGCUCGUAAGAGGAAAGCAGCAAUGCGCUGGAAGAGGAGUCCGCGGCUGAUUAGCUAGUUGGCGGGGUAAUGGCCCACCAAGGCGAAGAUCGGUAGCCGGCCUGAGAGGGCACACGGCCACACUGGCACUGAAACACGGGCCAGACUCCUACGGGAGGCAGCAGUGGGGAAUCUUGCACAAUGGAGGAAACUCUGAUGCAGCGACGCCGUUGAGCGAUGAAGCCCUUCGGGGUGUAAAGCUCUUUCGACGGGAACGAUAAUGACGGUACCCGAAGAAGAAGCUGCGGCUAACUACGUGCCAGCAGCCGCGGUAAUACGUAGGCAGCAAGCGUUGUUCGGAAUUACUGGGCGUAAAGAGUGUGUAGGCGGUGCUCCAAGUCUGUUGUGAAAUCUCCCGGCUUAACUGGGAGGGUGCGGCGGAAACUGGAAUGCUAGAGGAUGGGAGAGGUAAGCGGAAUUCCUGGUGUAGCGGUGAAAUGCGUAGAUAUCAGGAGGAACACCUGUGGUGUAGACAGCUUACUGGACCAUUUCUGACGCUGAGACAAAAGCGUGGGUAGCAAACAGGAUUAGAUACCCUGGUAGUCCACGCCCUAAACGAUGCAUACUUGGUGUGAGCGAUUCAUUUCGUUCGUGCCGGAGCUAACGCGUUAAGUAUGCCGCCUGGGGAGUACGGUCGCAAGGCUGAAACCCAAAGGAAUUGACGGGGGCCCGCACAAGCGGUGGAGCAUGUGGUUCAAUUCGACGCAACGCGAAGAACCUUACCUGGGCUCGAACGGCUAUGGACAAUCCUUGGAAACAGGGACUUCUCGCAAGAGACUGUAGUCGAGGUGCUGCAUGGCUGUCGUCAGCUCGUGUCGUGAGAUGUUGGGUUAAGUCCCGCAACGAGCGCAACCCUUGUCCUGUGUUGCCAUCAUUUAGUUGGGCACUCUCAGGAGACCGCCAGCGAUAAGCUGGAGGAAGGUGGGGAUGAUGUCAAGUCAUCAUGGCCUUUAUGUCCAGGGCUACACACGUGCUACAAUGGCCGGUACAAAGCGCUGCAAACUCGCAAGAGGGAGCUAAUCGCAAAAAACCGGUCUCAGUUCGGAUCGCAGGCUGCAACUCGCCUGCGUGAAGCUGGAAUCGCUAGUAAUGCCGUAUCAGAACGAUGGCGUGAAUACGUUCCCGGGCCUUGUACACACCGCCCGUCACAUCACGAAAGUGGAUUGUACUAGAAGUCCUAAUCAAACAGGCCCAAGGUAUGAUUCAUGAUUGGGGUGAAGUCGUAACAAGGUA
rnacentral:rRNA from 1 species